AGUGAACGCUGGCGGUAGGCCUAACACAUGCAAGUCGAACGGCAGCACAGUAAGAGCUUGCUCUUACGGGUGGCGAGUGGCGGACGGGUGAGGAAUACAUCGGAAUCUACUUUUUCGUGGGGGAUAACGUAGGGAAACUUACGCUAAUACCGCAUACGACCUACGGGUGAAAGCAGGGGAUCUUCGGACCUUGCGCGAUUGAAUGAGCCGAUGUCGGAUUAGCUAGUUGGCGGGGUAAGGGCCCACCAAGGCGACGAUCCGUAGCUGGUCUGAGAGGAUGAUCAGCCACACUGGAACUGAGACACGGUCCAGACUCCUACGGGAGGCAGCAGUGGGGAAUAUUGGACAAUGGGCGCAAGCCUGAUCCAGCCAUACCGCGUGGGUGAAGAAGGCCUUCGGGUUGUAAAGCCCUUUUGUUGGGAAAGAAAAGCAGCAGGUUAAUACCACGCUGUUCUGACGGUACCCAAAGAAUAAGCACCGGCUAACUUCGUG
rnacentral:rRNA from 1 species